AUACGUAGGGUGCGAGCGUUGUCCGGAAUUACUGGGCGUAAAGAGAUCGUAGGUGGUUUGUCGCGUCGUCUGUGAAAUUCCGGGGCUUAACUCCAGGCGUGCAGGCGAUACGGGCAUAACUUGAGUACUGUAGGGGAGACUGGAAUUCCUGGUGUAGCGGUGAAAUGCGCAGAUAUCAGGAGGAACACCGGUGGCGAAGGCGGGUCUCCGGGCAGUAACUGACGCUGAGGAGCGAAAGCAUGGGUAGCGAACAGGAUUAGAUACCCUGGUAGUCCAUGCCGUAAACGGUGGGCGCUAGGUGUAGGGGUCCUCCACGACUUCUGUGCCGUAGCUAACGCAUUAAGCGCCCCGCCUGGGGAGUACGGCCGCAAGGCUAAAACUCAAAGGAAUUGACGGGG
rnacentral:rRNA from 1 species